rnacentral:rRNA from 1 species
UGGGGAAUCUUGGACAAUGGGGGCAACCCUGAUCCAGCCAUGCCGCGUGAGUGAUGAAGGCCUUAGGGUCGUAAAGCUCUUUCGCCUGUGAAGAUAAUGACGGUAGCAGGUAAAGAAACCCCGGCUAACUCCGUGCCAGCAGCCGCGGUAAUACGGAGGGGGUUAGCGUUGUUCGGAAUUACUGGGCGUAAAGCGCACGUAGGCGGACCAGAAAGUUGGGGGUGAAAUCCCGGGGGCUCAACCCCGGAACUGCCUCCAAAACUAUUGGUCUAGAGUUCGAGAGAGGUGAGUGGAAUUCCAAGUGUAGAGGUGAAAUUCGUAGAUAUUUGGAGGAACACCAGUGGCGAAGGCGGCUCACUGGCUCGAUACUGACGCUGAGGUGCGAAAAGUGUGGGGAGCAAAACAGGAUUAGAUACCCUGGUAGUCCACACCGUAAAACGAUGAAUGCCAGUCGUCGGGUAGCAUGCUAUUCGGUGACACACCUAAC